AAGUAUGCUGUUUCAAUUUGAUCUGCUAUUUCGGGUGAUCUAGUCCCUGUUAGUUCUUGACAGUCCAGGAGGCGCCUGGUGCAUCCCACGGACUCAUUUAAAUGUUCCCUGAGUGCUUCGUCUGUGCCGCACGUUGCUCUGCGUGGUGGAGAUAAAUGAGGAGUAGAAGCUGCGCCUGGCCUGAAGGCACCCCAGGUCACUCUUGGGGAAACACAGUGCCCAUCGCUGAUGCUCACCAAGGUUCCGGUCCUGCGGACAAGCCCCUGCCAUGCACCUGAUCGUGGAUCUGGCCUCUGUGACCGGCUCUGGAAGUUCCCAUGAAUGGACUCUUCCUCG
ensembl:lncRNA novel transcript